rnacentral:rRNA from 1 species
CACGUAGGGGGCGAGCGUUGUCCGGAUUUAUUGGGCGUAAAGAGCUCGUAGGCGGCUCGGUAAGUCAGGUGUGAAACCUCCAGGCUCAACCUGGAGACGCCACCUGAUACUGCCGUGGCUAGAGUCCGGUAGAGGAGCGUAGAAUUCCUGGUGUAGCGGUGAAAUGCGCAGAUAUCAGGAGGAAUACCAGCGGCGAAGGCGGCGCUCUGGGGCCGGUACUGACGCUGAGGAGCGAAAGCGUGGGGAGCAAACAGG